GAUGCUGGCACUAACUUUGAACCAUAACAAAUGGAUAUGUGAAAAGGGAGAAAAAAACCACAAGAGAGAUGCAGAAACACAAUACUGGAAGCAUGAAUUACUGGCACAAUUAUUUUUUGCUACUUCUCUGAA